rnacentral:rRNA from 1 species
AGCAGCCGCGGUAAUUCCAGCUCCAAUAGCGUAUAUUAAAGUUGUUGCAGUUAAAAAGCUCGUAGUUGAAUUUCGGGAUCAAUUUAUUGGUCGUGCUAUUGUACGUACUGGUAUUAUUGAUUCCUACCUUCUGACGAACCACGAUGUCAUUAAUUUGGUGUCAUGGGGAAUCAGGACCGUUACUUUGAAAAAAUUAAAGUGUUUAAAGCAGGCUCACGCUUGAAUACAUUAGCAUGGAAUAAUGAAAUAGGACGUUUGAUUCUAUUUUGUUGGUUUCUAGGAUCGACGUAAUGAUUAAUAGGGAUAGUUGGGGGCAUUAGUAUUCAAUUGUCAGAGGUGAAAUUCUUGGAUUUAUUGAAGACUAACUACUGCGAAAGCAUUUGCCAAGGAUGUUUUCAUUAAUCAAGAACGAAAGUUAGGGGAUCGAAGACGAUCAGAUACCGUCGUAGUCUUAACCAUAAACUAUGCCGACUAGGGAUCGGAUGAUGUUAAUUUUUAAUGACUCAUUCGGCGCCUUAAC